UAUGUAUGUGCAUUUUAAUGAUGCAAUUUUGCAUAAUAAUUGCAAUUGAUUUUCAUAUAUAUACGAGCAAUUGACCCGAGUUAAAAUUAUAAUUGAAUAGACAUCCAGUCAACUCAGUCAACCAAACAAAUCUCUCAUCAUGAAGGUCUUCAUUUUCUUCGCUCUCUUCUGCUUGGCCGUAGCUUCAGCUUCAGUUAUUGGACCAUUGGGUGGAGUUGCUAUCUCUCCGUUGGGCUUGCCAUUAGCUGGUCAUGGUGUUGUUGUUAAUGGAUUGGGAAUUCCCGGACUCAUUGCUCCAGGAAUUGUUGGAAAUAUUGGAGGCGUGAAAAUUAUUGGUUAAUUUCAGAAUAAAACAUUUUAUAUAUUUAAACCAAAAUACAAGACCCUCAAUACUGCCGUAACAACAUAAUUUUUAUUUUACUUUUCGCAUUAAUAAAAUUCUUUAUUUUCCCUUAAA